rnacentral:rRNA from 1 species
UUACGGGAGGCAGCAGUGGGGAAUAUUGGACAAUGGGCGAAAGCCUGAUCCAGCAAUGCCGCGUGAGUGAUGAAGGCCUUAGGGUUGUAAAGCUCUUUUACCAGGGAUGAUAAUGACAGUACCUGGAGAAUAAGCUCCGGCUAACUCCGUGCCAGCACGCCGCGGUAAUACGGAGGGAGCUAGCGUUGUUUGGAAUUACUGGGCGUAAAGAGUACGUAGGCGGUGAUUCAAGUCAGAGGUGAAAGCCUGGAGCUCAACUCCAGAACUGCCUUUGAAACUAGAUCGCUAGAAUUGUGGAGAGGUUAGUGGAAUUCCGAGUGUAGAGGUGAAAUUCGUAGAUAUUCGGAAGAACCCCAGUGGCGAAGGCGACUAACUGGACACAUAUUGACGCUGAGGUACGAAAGCGUGGGGAGCAAACCGGAUUAGAUACCCUGGUAGUCCACCCCGUAAACGAUGAUAACUAGCUGUUCGGGGUCUACGAUCCUGAGUGGCGCAGCUAACGCAUAAGUAU